rnacentral:lncRNA from 1 species
GUGCCAGUCAUAUAAAAGUGAACAAGCGACAAAGAUUCCUGCUCUGGAGCUUACAUUCUACUAUGCUAAAAUGCAAUAAACGUAUCAUUGUAUAAAAUGUGGGGUGACAGGUGCCACCGAGUAGAAUAAAGCCAGGUAAAAGAGAACAGAGACCCUGUGUGGAUGAGGGUAGAGAACGCCAGGACUACAGACUAGAUUUUAAGAUUCCUGUUUUAUACAGGAAAAAAAAUAAGCCUCAGAGGAGUGACUUGCCUAAGCUGUUUUCCCUUGCUUUUUUUUUUUUUUUUUUUUUUUUUUGAUACGGCGUCUCGCUCAGUUGCCCAGGCUGGAGUGCAGUGGGUGGCAUGGUCUUGGCUCAUUGCAAUCUCCACCUCCCAGGCUCAAGCAAUUCUCCUGCUUCAGCCUCCCGAUUAGCUGGGAUUACAGGCACCCACCAACCAUGCCCGACUUUUUUUUUUUUUUUUUUUUUUUUGAGACGGAGUCUUGCUCUGUCUCCCAGGCUGGAGUGCAAUGGUGCCAUUGUGGCUGACUACAGCCUCCGCCUCUGGGUUCAAGCGAUUCUCCCACCUCAGCCCCCCAAGUAGCUGGGAUUACAGGUGCCCACCACCACGCCUGGCUAAUUUUUUGUAUUUUUGGUAGAGAGGAGGUUUCACCAUGUUGGCCAGGCCAGUCUCGAACUCCUGACCUCAGAUGAUCUGCCCGCCUAGGCCUCCCAAAGUACUGGGAUUACAGGUGUGAGCCACCCUGCCUGGCUAUUUGUUUUUUUUUUUUUUUUUUUUUUUUUUGAGAUAGGGUCUCAGUCGGUCCCCCAGGUUGGAGUGGAGUGCAGUGGCCUGAUCACAGCUCAUUGCCACUUUGGCCUCCUGGGGCUCAAGCUGUUUUCCCAGGGCUCAAGUGGUCCUCCCAGGGCUCAAGUAGUCCCCCAAGCUCAGUCUCCCCAGUCACUGGGACUACAAGCCUGCUCCACCACGCCCGGUAGAUUUUCUGGUUUUUUUUUUUUUUUUUUUUUUGUAGAGAUGGGGCUCUCACUUUGUUGUCAAGGCUGGUCUCGAACUCCUGGGCUCAAGUGAUCCUCCCAUUUCGGCCUCCCAAAGUGUUGGGAUUACAGGCAUGAGCCACAGUGCCAGGGCCGAGGCUCUUCUCAACUGCUGCAGCAGACAGCUUGGUUCUUGCCUCUCUGCAGACAGAAGACUUGUGUCUCAGGCUCAGUGCUUUGUCUCACAGAGUGCUGGACACACAAGAACAAAUUAUCUUUCUCUAGGUAUCCAUUUUUGGCUCUAGGCUCUCUGCUUCACAGGUGGAUGGAGUGAUGGGGAAGAUGCUGUGGCCAGUGCACCUAGGUUCAAAUCCUACCUCCCUGUGGUCUUGGGCAAGCUGCUUAACCUCUCUGCCUCAGCUUCUGCAUCUGUAUGUAACUUUUGCAAGUUUGUAAUGAGGAGAGCACUUAACACAGAGCCUAAGCCAAACAGUAAAUGCUUCCUAUUUUAUUGUCUCAGUCAUUUCACAGUCAUGACCCCUUCUGGGGAAGCUUGUGGGAAACUCUGACUCACAUUGCAGACUACCGAGCCACGGUCCCUUCCUCGGCUCCGUUUCUGCUCCCUCCACCCCACGAGGCUGGAGUGCAGUGGCGGGAUGAGAGUUCACUAUGAUCUCGACUUCCUGGACUCAGAUGGUUCUCCCACUUCAGCUUCCGGAUCUAAUAUUUCAAUAAUUUCAAGAACACUGCAUUCAUUCCUCUCCACAUGAGCAAUUGCCAAAAGUAGGCUUUACAUUUUUGCUCGUUUUCUUUUGGGUCUGUGGCUAGUCUCCACUUCCUUUUUUUUUUUUUUUUUUUUUUUUUUUUUUUUAAGAUAGUCUCACUCUGUCCCCCACAACCCCCAACCCCGGCUGGAGUGCAGUGGCCAGAUCUGGGCUUACUGCAACCUCUGCCUCCCAAGUUCAGGUGAUUCUUGUGCCUCAGCCUCCUGAGUAGCUGGGAUUACAGGCACGUGCCCACCAUGACUGGCUAAUUUUUUGCAUUUUUAGUAGAGACGGGGUUUUGCCAUGUUGGCCAGGUUGGUCUCGAACGCCUGGCCUCAAAGUGAUCCACCCGUUUGGGCCUCCCAAAGUGCUGGGAUUACAGGCCUGAGUUACUGCACCCGGCCUGUCCCCGAAAUUCGAUUGCAGCCGGCGAUAAAGCUUUUUUUUACCCCGCUUCUCGGCAAAGCGUUGUGUUUUUAUUUUAGCAGACUCACCUGGCACUAAGGACUGCUCUGGUGGUCUUCGGAGGCUCCUGGGAUCGACUGCUUGGACAGAGGUGACAUCACCCAAUUAGUGAGAGCCAAGACCUAAGGCUGCAGCUGCCUUCCAGCAGAGUAGCUGGGAUUACAGGCAUGUGCCACCACGCCCGGCUAAAUUUUUUUUGUAUUUUUAGUAGAGAUGGGGUUUCUCCAUGAUGGUCAGGCUGGUCUCAAACUGCCAAACUCAGGUGAUCCACCCGCACUGGCCUCCCAAAGUGCUGGGAUUACAGGUGUGAGCCACUGUGCCCGGCCCCCCUUUCUUCGUUUGCUCUAUCCUCCCGCUGAAGACAUUGCUUUCCUCUUUCUGUUUGCUCUCCCCACCUCUCACUCCAUUGUGCCUUGCACCUGUGCUGCCCACUACCUCUCCUUGUUGCUGUUGUCUCUCCUGGCUGCUGGUCACUCCAUGCCAACACUUACUUUAUUCCUUGAAGGUUUUUAGCUCCUGGAGCACUGACUUUCUCCAGCAUAACUCCUGUCAUCAAUCGACACCCUGGUUCCCCAAUUCCUUGACCUCAGCUUUGACUACCCCAGCCACUCACUUCCCUGGUCUAACCCUAGGUCAUGUCAUUGUCGAUUGCCAUAACCCCAUCCACUUCGAGGGUCACACUCUCCAAUCACCUCUACCAUCCCUCCCUCUGCUACCCUUUGGUACCUGUCACCCCACUCCCCACCCCCUCAACCCGCAUCCCCAAAGUCCUUGGGCCCACCUCCAACUAAUCUAACUGCACCAACUCUAACAAACUGCACCUGUGUCACUGAGUGUAACUGGUGGAAGCUGACUGGGCUCACCUUAACCCUGGGCAAGCUGGGGGAAAAUAGACAUCCCACAUUUGCUACCUGGGGCCCAAUAAGUCUGCAUUAGUCUGUGCUCGUGCUGCUAAUAAAAACAUACCGGAGACUGGGUAAUUUAUAAAGAAAAAGAGGUUUAAUGGACUCACAGUUCCACGUGGCUGGGGAAGCCUCACAAUCAUGGUGGAAGGUGAAAGGCAUGUCUUACAUGGUGGAAGGUGAGAGAGAACUUGUGCAAGGGAACUCCCCUUUAUAAAACCAUCAGAUCUUGUGAGACUUAUUCACUAUCAUGAGAACAAUAUGGAAAAGUCCUGGCCCCAUGAUUCAAUUACCUCCCACUGGGUCCCUCCCAUGACACGUGGGAAUUAUGGGAGCUACAAUUCAAGAUGAGACUUGGGUGGGGACACAGCCAAACCAUAUCAUUUUGCUGUAGCCCCUCCCAAAUCUCAUGUCCUCACAUUUCAAAACCUAUCAUGCCUUCCCAACAGUCUCCCAAAGUCUUAUUUCAGCAUUAACUCAAAAGUCUACAGUCCAAAGUCUCAUCUGAGACAAGGCAAGUCCCUUCCGCCUACCAGCCUGUACAAUCAAAAGCAAGUUAGGGUCGGGCAUGGUGGCUCAUGCCUGUGAUCCCAGCACUUUGGGAGGCCAAGGCAGGCAGAUCAUCUGAGUUCGGGAGUUUGAGACCAGUCUGGCCAACAUAGUGAAACCCCAUCUCUACUAAAAAUACAAAAAAAUUAGCCGGGCGUGGUGGCACAUGCCUGUAAUCCCAGCUACUCGAGAGGCCGAAGCAGGAGAAUCGCUUGAACCCAGGAGGCAGAGGUUGCAGUGAGCCAAGAUCAUGGCACUGCACUCCAGCCUGGGUGACAGAGUGAGACUCUGUCUCAAAAAGAAAAAAAAAAAAGCAAGUUUGUUAAUUCCUAGAUACAAUGAGGGUACAGGCAUUGAGUAAAUACAGCUGUUCAAAAUGGGAGAAAUUGGCCAAAACAAAGGGGUUACAGAUCUCCUAUGCAAGUCUGAAGUCCAGUGGAGCAGUCAAAUCUUUUUUUUUUUUUUUUUUUUUUUGAGAUGGAGUCUUGCUCUGUCACCCAGGCUGGAGUGCAGUGGCAUGAUCUUGGCUCACUGCAACCUCCACCUCCCGGGUUCAAGCAAUUCUUCUGCCUCAGCCUCCUGAGUAGCUGGGAUUACAGGCACAUGCCACAAUGCCUGGCUAAUUUUUUUUGUAUUUUUAGUAGAGACGGAGUUUCACCAUGUUGGCCAGGCUGGUCUUGAACUCCUGAACUCAAGCGAUCCUCCCACCUUGGCCUCCCAAAGUGCUGGAAUUACAGGAGUGAGCCGACAUGCCUGGCAGCAGUCAAAUCUUAAAGCCCCAAAAUGAUUUCCUUUGACUCCAUGUCUCAUGUCCAGGUCACACUGAUGCAAGAGGUGGGCUCCCAUGGCCUUGGCAGCUCUGCCCCUGUGGCUUUGCAGGGUAUAGCCCCCCCUCCCAGCUGCUUUCACAGGCAGGCCUUGAGUGUCUGUGGCUUUUCCAGGAGCAAGGUGCAAGCUGUCAGUGGAGCUACCAUUCUGGGGUCUGGAGGACAGUGACUCUUUUCUUGCAGCUCCACUAGGCACUGCCCCAGUUGGGAGUCUGUGUGAGGGCUUGCACCCCACAAUUUCCCUUUGCACUGCCCUAGCAGUGGUUCUCCAUGAGGGCUCCACCCCUGCAGCCCACCUCUACCUGGACAUCCAGGCAUUUCUACACAUCCUCUGAAAUCUUGGCAGAGGUUCCCAAGCCUCAAUUCUUGACUUCUGUGCACUCGCAGGCACAACACCACAUGAAAGCUGCCAAGGCCUAGGGUUUGCACCCUCUGAAGCCACAGCCUGAGCUGCACCUUGGCCCCUUUUAGCUGUGGCUGGAGCAGCUGGGAUACAAGGCACCAAGUCCCCAGGCUGCACAGAGCAGGGGGGCCCUGGGCACAGCCCAUGAAACCAUUUUUUCCUACUAGGCCUCCAAGCCUGUGAUGGGAGGGUCUGCCACAUGAAGGUCUCUGACAUACCCUGGAGACAUUUCCCCCCACUGUCUUCAUGAUUAACAUUUGGCUUCUCGUUACUUAUGCAAAUUUCUGAGGCCAGCUUGAAUUUCUCCUCUGAAUUUUUUUUUUUUUUUUUUUUUUUUUGAGAUGGAGUCUUGAUCUGUUGCCAGGCUGGAGUGCACUGGCACAAUCUCGGCUCAUUGCAACCUCCGCCUCCCGGGUUCAAGCGAUUCUCCUGCCUCAGCCUCCCGAGUAGCUGGGACUACAGGUGUGUGCCACCAUGCCCAGCUAAUUUUUGUAUUUUCAGUAGAGACCGAGUUUCACCAGGUUGGCCAGGAUGGUCUCAAUCUCUUGACUUCAUGAUCUGCCCACUUCAGCCUCUCAAAGUACUAGGAUUACGGGCAUCAGGCACUGCACCCGGCCUGGGUUUUUCUUUUCUACCGCAUUGUCAGGCUGCAAAUUUUUUGAAAUUGUAUGCUCAUUUUAACUUUUUUUUUUUUUUUUAAUGGAGUCUUGCUCUGUCACCCAGGCCAGAGUGCAGUGGCGUGAUCUUGGCUCAUUGCAACCUCUGCCUCCUGGGUUUAAGCAGUUCUCUGCCUCAGCCUCCCAAGUAGUGGGGAUUACAGGAGCCCACCACAACACCCUGCUAAUUUUUGUAUUUUUAGUAGAGAUGGGGUUUCACUAUAUUGGCCAGGCUGGUCUUGAACUACUGACCUUGUGAUCUGCUCAACUCAGCCUCCCAAAGGGCUGGGACUACAGGCAUGAGCCACUGCUCCUGGUCUGUUUCACUUUUACAACUGAAUGCUGGCCAGAUGUGGUGGCUCAUCCCUGUAAUCCCAGCACUUUGGGAGGCCUAGGCAGGCAGAUCACGAGGUCAAGAGUUUGAGACAAGCCUGCCAAUAUGGUGAAACCCCAUCUCUACUAAAAAUACAAAAAUUAGCCUGGCGUGGUGGUGGGCGCCUGUGGUCCCAGCUACUCGGGAGGCUGAGGCAGGAGAAUUGUUUGAACCCAGGAUGUGAAGGUUGCAGUGAGCCGAGAUCACGCCACUGCAGUCAGUCCAGCCUGGGCGACAGAGCGAGACUCCGUCUCAAAAAAAAAAAAAAAAUAAGAACAGAAUGCUACUGGGCACAAUGGCUCAUGCCUGUAAUCCCACCACUUUGGGAGACUGAGGUGGGCAGAUCAAUUCACAUCAGGAGUUUGAGACCAGCCUGGCAAACAUGGUGAAACCCUAUCUCUAAUAAAAAUACAAAAAUUGGCUGGGUGUGGUGGCAGGCACAUGUAAUCACAGCUACUCAGGAGACUGAGGCACGAGAAUCACUUGAUUCUCUGCGGGCAGAGGUUGCAGUGAGCCGAGAUCUUGCCACUGCAUGCCAGCCUGGGCAACAGAGACUAUCUCAAAAAAACAAAAAUAGCAAAAACAACAACAAAUCCUGGAUGCUUUUAACAGCACCAAAGUCACCUCUUGAAUGUUUGCUGCUUAGAAAUUCUGUAACCGCCAGGCGUGGUGGCUCACGCCUAUAAUCCCAACAUGUUGGGAGGCCGAGGCAGGAGGAUCACCUGAGGUCAGGAGUUUGAGACCAGCCGGAUCAACAUGGAGAAACCUGGUCUCUACUAAAAAUACAAAAUUAGCCAAGUGUGGUGGCACAUGCCUGUAAUCCCAGCUGCUCAGGAGGCUGAGGCAGGAGAAUCGCCUGAACCCAGGAGGCGGAGGUUGGGGUGAGCUGAGAUCCUGCCAUUGCACUCCCCUGGGCAACAGGAGCGAAACUCCAUCACGAAAAAAAAAAAGAAAGAAAGAAAAAAAGAAAUUCUGUAAUCGCCGGCACGGUGGCUCACACCUGUAAUCCCAACACUUUGGGAGGACGAGGCAGGCAGAUCACCUGAGUUAGAGACCAGCCUGCCCAACAUUGCGAAACCCCACCUCUACUAAAAAUACAAAAUUAGCUGGGCGUGGUGGCGCAUCCCUGUAAUCCCAGCUGCUCCAGAGGCUGAGGCAGGAGAAUCGCUUGUACCUGGGAGGUGGAGGUUGCAGUGAGCCGAGAUCGCGCCAUUCGACUCCAACACGCGAAUCAAGAGCAAAACUCCGACACAAAAAAAAAAAAAGAAAAGAAAAGAAAAAGACAAGAAAAAGAGAGAGAGAUGUUGGAAAGAAAAGCCUCACAGAAGGCAGGGCACGGUGACUCAAGCCUGUAAUCCGAGAACUUUGGGAGGCUGAGGGGGGCGGAUGACGAGGUCAGGAGAUGGAGACCAUCCUGGCUAACAGGAUGAGACCGCCGUCUCUACUAAAAAUAGGAAAAAUUUGCUGGGCGUGGUGGCCUACGCCUGUAAUCCCAGCUACCCAGGAGGCUGAGGCAGGAGAAUCGCUGGAACCCGGGAGGUAGAGGCUGCAGUGAGCCGAGAUCGCGCCACUGCACUCCAGCCUGGGCGACAGAGCAAGAGUUUGUCUGUAAAAAAAAAAAAAAAAAAAAAAAAAAAAAAAGCCAGGGUGAGCGGUGAUUGUGUUGGCGUGAAGCGAGGGAAACACUCGGCCGCAGGACAAAACUAAAACAGCAAGGGGGCACCGAAAGACUCAGUAGUCCACGUGAAUAUCCUGAUUAUGUUGUAGCUGAGAUAAUGUAGGGUCCACCCCUACCGGGUCUGUGGGUUUUCUCUUCGCGUGUGUGCGGAGACGAGAGAUCGAAGAGAUAAAGACAGAAGACAAAGAGAUAGGAAGAAAGACAGCUGGGCCCGGGGGACCACUGCCACCAAAGCGCGGAGACAGACAGGUAGUGGCCCCGAGUGCCUGGAGGCGCUGCUAUUUAUUGUAGUCAAGGCAAGGGGGCAGGGUAAGGAGUGCCAGUCAUCUCCAAUGAUCGAUAGGUCACGCGAGUCACGUGUCCACUGGACAGGGGGCCUUUCCCUUUGUGGUAGCCGAGGUGGAGAGGGAGGACAGCAAACGUCAGCGUUUCUUCUAUGCACUUAUCAGAAAGAUCGAAGACUGUGGUACUCCUACUAGUUCUGCUACUGCUGUCUUCUAAGAACUUAAAAGGAGGAGCCAGGUGUACAGGCUGAACAUGAAAGUGAACAAGGAGCGUGACCACUGAAGCACAGCAUCACAGGGAGACAGACGUUGGAGCCUCCGGAUGACUGCGGGCCGGCCUGGCUAAUGUCAGACCUCCCACAAGAGGUGGUGGAGCGGAGCGUUCUCUGUCUCCCCUGGAGAGAGGGAGAUUCCCUUUCCGGGUCUGCUAAGUAACGGGUGCCUUCCCAGGCACUGGGGCCACCGCUAGACCAAGGCCUGCUAAGUAACCAGGGCCUUCCCAGGCACUGGCAUUACUGCUUGGCCAAGGAGCCCUCAACCGGCCCUUAUGUGGGCAUGACAGAGGGCUCACCUCUUGCUUUCUAGGUCACUUCUCACAAUGUCCCUUCAGUACAUGAUCCUACACCCAUCAAUUAUUCCUAGGUUAUAUUAGUAAUGCAACAAAGACUAAUAUUAAAAGCUAAUGAUUAAUAAUGUUUAUACAUUAUUGAUUGAUAAUUGUCCAUGAUCAUCUCUAUAUCUAAUUUGUAUUGUAAGUAUUCUUUAUUCUAACUAUUUUCUUUAUUAUACUGCUACAGUUUGUGCCUUCAGUCUCCUGUCUUGGCACCUGGGUAAUCCUUCGUCCACAGCUGCCCAAAUCUCCCCUCUUUUUAUUGACUAGGAUCAUCAUUGCCAUCAUUGCUUGUUGACUUUGGGCUUUUCAUCGGACUCCCUGAAGACAUCUGCAUACUAAAAGCAGACAACAUAAACACACCAAUAUCAGUAAUGCUAGUGACAAUAGUGAACCUCUAAGGGGUUUGAUCCGUUUAAAAAGAUUAAGAUCGGAUAAUACUUUGGUGAUUUCCUCAAAAAUAUGAGAGCCAGGAACGGUAGUUAAGUGAGCCUGUGAGGCCCCCAAAAUUUGCUCUUUCAGUUUUGAAAUAUCUUAAGUUAGAUUAUCAUCCCAGGCUUUGAAUGUCUCAUGACUUUUUCCCAGCUAUGCUGAUCUUUUUUAUAAGCAUAAGGCAUUAUGCAAUAAUCAGAAUUAUUCCAAUCACAUUGUAAUUGCAUACGGUGUUGCAAAUUCAUAACUCUAUCUCCCAGCCAUAUCACACUCUGGUGGAGAUCAUUAAUUUGAUUAGCCAAAUUUGAUCAACUUGAGCCUGAGAAUUCCAGAGUCUGGUGGAGUUUUUGUUUGUUUGUUUGUUUUUUUGCCACACUUCCACAUAUUGAGUGGUCUGAACAGAGUUGUGGAUAGCAACUCCAGCUGCCAUUGCUGUGGCAGUGACAGCAAUUAAUCCUGCAAUGACUGCAAUAAGAGUAAAGAUGAAUCUCUUCGUUCUCUUAAGGAUUCCUUUAAGGAUUUCAUUGACUAUAUGAAUAGAGGGAGAAGACUCCCAAGGGUGGUGUAAAGAAACGGUAUCCUUACCCCCUCCCUAGCCCUUACCAGGAGAAUACUUGUUAUGGGAUGAAAUGUAACACGAAUACAUGUAAACAAUUUGCAAUCAUCAAAUUCUAUGGUUUGGCUGUUGGGGGGUGAUAAUUAUAUUUCCGACUAAUAGCAUAUAAGGGGAUUUUACACAGCUCCUGCUAGGUAUCACCUGUUCAGACAUCAAGGUGACUUUGUAUACGUCUGUCUUGGUAUUAGUGGGAAUGAUCUGAUAGGUUACAUUCCAUAUCCUAAUUCCAGUCAUGGCAGCAGCCAAUUUCCACAAUUCAGGAUGUUCUGGGGUAACAAUAGGAUGAAUCACUUUUGGUCUAGGAGGAAUGAUCACUUUGUCCAUCCAUUUGAAUGGGUAAGGAGACACCCAUUCCCUCAGCCUGUAGGACUGCCAUCCCUCCUCUACAUAAUCUAUCAAAUAGUUGAACUCAGAAUAUUUGGCAUUUAGGCUGGAAAAAUUUAGCCAAUAAUAUCCUCUUGGA